rnacentral:rRNA from 1 species
GACGAACGCUGGCGGCGUGCCUAAUACAUGCAAGUAGAACGCUGAAGGAGGAGCUUGCUCUUCUGGAUGAGUUGCGAACGGGUGAGUAACGCGUAGGUAACCUGCCUGGUAGCGGGGGAUAACUAUUGGAAACGAUAGCUAAUACCGCAUAAGAGUAGAUGUUGCAUGACAUUUGCUUAAAAGGUGCAAUUGCAUCACUACCAGAUGGACCUGCGUUGUAUUAGCUAGUUGGUGGGGUAACGGCUCACCAAGGCGACGAUACAUAGCCGACCUGAGAGGGGGAUCGGCCACGCUGGGACUGAGACACGGCCCAGACUCCUACGGGAGGCAGCAGUAGGGAAUCUUCGGCAAUGGACGGAAGUCUGACCGAGCAACGCCGCGUGAGUGAAGAAGGUUUUCGGAUCGUAAAGCUCUGUUGUAAGAGAAGAACGAGUGUGAGAGUGGAAAGUUCACACUGUGACGGUAUCUUACCAGAAAGAGACGGCUAACUACGUG